rnacentral:rRNA from 1 species
GACGAACGCUGGCGGCGUGCCUAACACAUGCAAGUCGAACGAAAAGUUCGUGUUUAGUUGCGCAGGGGUGGGGAACGCGGGGGGAGCUGCCCUUAGGUUCCGAAUAACUCCCCUAGAGGGAUGUUAAGACCGGAUGGGGUCUUCCGGGCAAAGAUUUAUCGCCUUUGGGUGGGGCCGGGUUGGUUUGGCCGGUUGGUAGGGGAAAAGCCUACCAAGGCGACGAUGCAUGGGUGGUCUGAGAGGAUGAUUUACCACACUGGGACUGAGACACGGCCCAGAGUCCUACGGGAGGCAGCAGUGGGGAAUAUUGGACACUGGGGGAAAGCGUGAUCCAGCAAUGCCGCGUGAGUGAUGAAGGCCUUAGGGUUGUAAAGCUCUUUUACACGGGAUGAUAAUGACAGUACCGGGAGAAUAAGCUCCGGCUAACUACGUG